GUGAUGGGGAGAAGACAUUGUGUCUUCGAGUCGUUGAUUUCACACUGCCGAGAAAAGCCUCUAGAUAGAAAAUAGGUGCCCGUACCGCAAACCGACACAGGUAGUCAAGAUGAGAAUUCUAAGGUGAGCGAGCGAACUCUCGUUAAGGAACUCGGCAAAAUGACCCCGUAACUUCGGGAGAAGGGGUGCUCUUUAGGGUUAACGCCCAGAAGAGCCGCAGUGAAUAGGCCCAAGCGACUGUUUAUCAAAAACACAGGUCUCUGCUAAACCGUAAGGUGAUGUAUAGGGGCUGACGCCUGCCCGGUGCUGGAAGGUUAAGAGGAGUGGUUAGCUUCUGCGAAGCUACGAAUCGAAGCCCCAGUAAACGGCGGCCGUAACUAUAACGGUCCUAAGGUAGCGAAAUUCCUUGUCGGGUAAGUUCCGACCCGCACGAAAGGCGUAACGAUUUGGGCACUGUCUCAACGAGAGACUCGGUGAAAUCAUAGUACCUGUGAAGAUGCAGGUUACCCGCGACAGGACGGAAAGACCCCGUGGAGCUUUACUGUAGCCUGAUAUUGAAAUUCGGCACAGCUUGUACAGGAUAGGUAGGAGCCUUUGAAACGUGAGCGCUAGCUUACGUGGAGGCGCUGGUGGGAUACUACCCUAGCUG
rnacentral:rRNA from 1 species